UACGUAGGGGCCUAGCGUUGUCCGGAUUUAUUGGGCGUAAAGAGCUCGUAGGCGGUUCGGCAAGUCAGGUGUGAAAUCUCCACGCUCAACGUGGAGGCGCCACCUGAAACUGCCGUGACUCGAGUCCGGUAGGGGAGUGUGGAAUUCCCGGUGUAGCGGUGAAAUGCGCAGAUAUCGGGAGGAACACCAGUGGCGAAGGCGAAUCUCUGGACAGUUACUGACACUGAGGCACGAAGGCCAGGGGAGCAAACGGG
rnacentral:rRNA from 1 species